rnacentral:lncRNA from 1 species
GUUCUCUCCUCCCUACGGUGUCAGUUGGCUACUUUAGCCUUCACCACCCAGCGCAUGCUGCUUGGUAAUCACUGAGUUGGCUGGACUGUCUUCUCUGGGCUGAAGUCAACAGGGAGCAGGACUGUAUACUCUUGCAUUUGAGGAUUUAACCUACUGCAAUGUGGUCAUGAUGGCUGAGGAUAGAGGUGGAACAGGUGCCAUGCUGCUAUCACAAGACGGAGACCACAUACUCUAAGAAUGCUGAACAGAAAAAUAAAAGGAGUCUGAGUCCCUGAUGACAUAAUAGAGCUACCAUAACCACCAUGGAUAUUGUCUAGGUGCUUUGUAAUAUAAAAAGAGUAAACCCUCUAAUUGGUUCAACC